GAUGAAGAACGCAGCGAAAUGCGAUAAGUAAUGUGAAUUGCAGAAUUCAGUGAAUCAUCGAAUCUUUGAACGCACAUUGCGCCCGCCAGUAUUCUGGCGGGCAUGCCUGUUCGAGCGUCAUUUCAACCAUCAAGCCCCCGGCUUGUGUUGGGGACCUGCGGCUGCCGCAGGCCCUGAAAAGCAGUGGCGGGCUCGCUGUCACACCGAGCGUAGUAGCAUACAUCUCGCUCUGGGCGUGCUGCGGGUUCCGGCCGUUAAACCACCUUCAUAACCCAAGGUUGACCUCGGAUCAGGUCGGAAGACCCGCUGAACUUAAGCAUAUCAAUAAGCGGAGGA
rnacentral:misc_RNA from 1 species